rnacentral:rRNA from 1 species
AUGCGGGAUAUAAAAACAUAUCUCUCUGUAGCACCCGUGAUAAGUACUCUAUGGUUUGGUGCUUUAGCAGGUUUAUUGAUAGAAAUUAAUCGUUUAUUCCCAGAUGCUUUGUCAUUCCCUUUUUUUUAA